CGGGGUGCAGCAGGCGCGAAAACUUUACAAUGCCGGCAACGGCGAUAAGGGAACCUCGAGUGCCAGGUUACAAAUCUGGCUGUCGUGAUGCCUAAAAAGCAUUGCAUAGCAAGGGCCGGGCAAGACCGGUGCCAGCCGCCGCGGUAACACCGGCGGCUCGAGUGGUAACCGUUAUUAUUGGGUCUAAAGGGUCUGUAGCCGGCCGGGUAAGUCUCUUGGGAAAUCUGGCAGCUUAACUGUCAGGCUUUCAGGAGAUACUGCCUGGCUCGAGGCCGGGAGAGGUGAGAGGUACUUCAGGGGUAGGGGUGAAAUCUUGUAAUCCUUGAAGGACCACCAGUGGCGAAGGCGUCUCACCAGAACGGACCUGACGGCAAGGGACGAAAGCUAGGGGCACGAACCGGAUUAGAUACCCGGGUAGUCCUAGCCGUAAACGAUACUCGCUAGGUGUCGGCCACGGUGCGACCGUGGUCGGUGCCGUAGGGAAGCCGUGAAGCGAGCCACCUGGGAAGUACGGCCGCAAGGCUGAAACUUAAAGGAAUUGGCGGGGGAGCACAAGGGCGAAUUCGCGG
rnacentral:rRNA from 1 species